CCCAUCGAUGAUGAAGAACUUGUCUCCUACAUCUGCACUGGCCUCGACAUCGAAUUCAACCCGGUAGUAUCUGCUAUCCUUGCACGUGUUGAACCUAUCAGCGUCACCGAGCUCUACAGCCAACUUCUUGCUUUUGAGC